UAGUCCACGCCGUAAACGGUGAAUACUAGGUGUGGGGAUCACAAGAUCUCUGUGCCGAAGCUAACGCAUUAAGUAUUCCGCCUGGGGAGUACGGUCGCAAGACUGAAACUCAAAGGAAUUGACGGGGGCCCGCACAAGCAGCGGAGCAUGUGGUUUAAUUCGAAGCAACGCGAAGAACCUUACCAGGGCUUGACAUCCUCUGACAACCCAAGAGAUUGGGCUUCCCUUCGGGGCAGAGUGACAGGUGGUGCAUGGUUGUCGUCAGCUCGUGCCGUGAGGUGUUGGGUUAAGUCCCGCAACGAGCGCAACCCCUAUGUUUAGUUGCCAGCGAGUAAUGUCGGGAACUCUAGACAGACCGCCGAGGACAACUCGGAGGAAGGUGGGGACGACGUCAAAUCAUCAUGCCCCCUUAUGUCCUGGGGCUACACACGUGCUACAAUGACUAGUACAAAGAGCUGC
rnacentral:rRNA from 1 species